rnacentral:tRNA from 1 species
CGGUGCCGCCGGCGCGGGCCAGUGCGGCGUCGCCGGCGAUCGCGGCGAGGAUCCGCGGUUCCAGCUGCGCGGCGUCGGCCA